GGUUCCGUAGUGUAGUGGUUAUCACGUUCGCGUUACACGCAAAGGAUCCCGGUUCGAUCCCGGGCGGAACCA